rnacentral:rRNA from 1 species
GAUGAACGCUGGCGGCGUGCCUAAUACAUGCAAGUCGAGCGAACGGACGAGAAGCUUGCUUCUCUGAUGUUAGCGGCGGGCGGGUGAGUAACACGUGGAUAACCUACCUAUAAGACUGGGAUAACUUCGGGAAACCGGAGCUAAUACCGGAUGAAAUCUUGAACCGCAUGGUUCAAAAGUGAAAGACGGUCUUGCUGUCACUUAUAGAUGGAUCCGCGCUGCAUUAGGUAGUUGGUAAGGUAACGGCUUACCAAGGCAACGAUGCAUAGCCGACCUGAGAGGGUGGUCGGCCACACUGGAACUGAGACACGGUCCAGACUCCUACGGGAGGCAGCAGUAGGGAAUCUUCCGCAAUGGGCGAAAGCCUGACGGAGCAACACCGCGUGAGUGAUGAAGGUCUUCGGAUCGUAAAACUCUGUUAUUAGGGAAGACCAUAUGUGUAAGUAACUGUGCACAUCUUGACGGUACCUAAUCAGAAAGCAACGGCUAACUACGUG